UACGUAGGGUGCGAGCGUUGUCCGGAAUUAUUGGGCGUAAAGAGCUUGUAGGCGGUUUGUCGCGUCUGCCCGUGAAAAUCCGGGGCUCAACCCCGGACUUGCGGUGGGUACGGGCAGACUAGAGUGUGGUAGGGGAGACUGGAAUUCCUGGUGUAGCGGUGAAAUGCGCAGAUAAUCGGGAAGAACACCCGUGGCGAAGGCGACUCUCUGGAACGCAACUGACGCUGAGACGCGAAAGCGUGGGGAGCAAACAGGGAUUAAGAAACCC
rnacentral:rRNA from 1 species